rfam:Mesocricetus auratus contig188914, whole genome shotgun sequence.
UGACACUGCAGUGUCAUCUACCUGCUUCUUACUGCAUUAUUCGGCUUUGAUAUUAUUCCCUCCUCUGCCACUCAUUUUUGGAGCUCUCUGCUGCGUUUUUUAACCUCAAAAAGAGUCUGAAAAGGAAGGAGGACAUCACUUA